CGGGGUGUAGCGCAGGUGGUAGCGCGCUGGCAUGGGGGGCCAGAGGUCGCCGGUUCGAGUCCGGUCACCCCGACCA
rnacentral:tRNA from 3 species